rnacentral:rRNA from 1 species
GUACCAGACUCCUACGGGAGGCAGCAGUGAGGAAUAUUGGUCAAUGGGCGUAAGCCUGAACCAGCCAGGUCGCGUGAGGGACGACGGCCCUACGGGUUGUAAACCUCUUUUGCCGGGGGACAAACGGCGGCACGCGUGCCGUCCUGAGGGUACCCGGAGAAAAAGCAUCGGCUAACUCCGUGCCAGCAGCCGCGGUAAUACGUAGGGGGCAAGCGUUAUCCGGAUUUACUGGGUGUAAAGGGGGCGCAGACGGCAGCGCAAGCCAGGAGUGAAAGCCCGGGGCCCAACCCCGGGACUGCUCUUGGAACUGCGCGGCUGGAGUGCAGGAGGGGCAGGCGGAAUUCCUGGUGUAGCGGUGAAAUGCGUAGAUAUCAGGAGGAACACCGGUGGCGAAGGCGGCCUGCUGGACUGCGACUGACGUUGAGGCCCGAAAGCGUGGGUAGCAAACAGGAUUAGAUACCCUGGUAAA